CGUAGGGUGCGAGCGUUAAUCGGAAUUACUGGGCGUAAAGCGUGCGCAGGCGGUUUGUUAAGAUAGGCGUGAAAUCCCCGGGCUCAACCUGGGAACUGCGCUUGUGACUGCAAGGCUAGAGUACGGUAGAGGGGGAUGGAAUUCCGCGUGUAGCAGUGAAAUGCGUAGAUAUGCGGAGGAACACCGAUGGCGAAGGCAAUCCCCUGGACCUGUACUGACGCUCAUGCACGAAAGCGUGGGGAGCAAACAGGAUUAGAUACCCUGGUAGUCCACGCCCUAAACGAUGUCAACUGGUUGUUGGGUCUUCACUGACUCAGUAACGAAGCUAACGCGUGAAGUUGACCGCCUGGGGAGUACGGCCGCAAGGUUG
rnacentral:rRNA from 1 species